AGAUAGGGGUUAGAUGGGAGGAGGGAGCUGGGCUUUGUCUGGGCUUGCUUUUUGAAAACUACAAAGAGGAGAGAGCACAUGAAAACUGAAGUCCAGAAUUGCUAAUCUAGGCCAGGUUCCUGGGAAAAGAUUUUGAUUGACCCAAGCUGGGUUAAGUGCUCAUCCUUCAAUCAAAGGCAGAUGAGCCAAAAGAUGUCUGCUACAGAAUGUGUAUUUCUUCAUGUCAGAUUCAGUAGUCCAAUAUUUUCCAUUAUAGGUGAUUUUGUACAGGAGGAUUUGUUUUUAUUUUGAGAAACAUAGACCCCCCCCCAAAAAAAAAGAGCAGUCAUUUUAACCAGAUAAUUUAUCUUUCUUUUAUAUAAAGCUGCAAAGGUAGACAAGCUGGUAUGACAUUUCUGCCCACUCCUUUACUGUGUUGCUUAUGUCUUCAUGGUCCAAGGUGGUGGUGAGCCCCUACUGGCAUGCCACAAUUGUAGCAGCAGGAUGAAGGAAGGGACAAAGAAGGGACAGAGGUAUACACCAACUGUCACUUAAGGAAAGUUCUAGAAAUUGCCAUAUAAAAUUUCCACCCAGUCCCUCAGAGGGAAACUGGAAAAUAGACUUUUUUUUUCAGGCUAGUGAUAUGCCCAGCUUAAAAAUCAGGGGUUCUAUGACUAGAGAAGAAAGGAGAGCACAUGUUAAGGGAAAAAUAGCAUUGUGAUCCAAGUCUUUUCAUAGUGAUUAUUCAUUUUUAGAACACUUAGGCUUUUAAGCUAAAAGGGCUUCUUUUUAACUCAGAAAGAAAAAAAAAAGUCCUCAUUAAGAAACAUGAAGGAGGGUCUAUAAUACAACUCAUGUCUUAUACUCCCAUAAUUGAAAUUUAAAUGCAUUAAAGUUACAGAAAAAUAUACUAAACACAGCCAUUGUUUCUUGUGCAUGUAGGGCCUUUGAAUAAAGGCAAUGCUGUGUCUUCAUGAAGAACUGUCUCCCAGACUAUUACAACCAGUUCAUGUCAUUUUAGAUAAAAUUCUGUGGAAUUCUGUAACUGUUAAGGAUUAGCAUCCCUUAAAUUUAGACUCAAACUUAGAAACACGAACUGCUGAAAAGCUAUUAUUUAAGCCCGGGAAGCUUCUCCCACUGGCCAAGCUAUCAAGGUGGAAAUAUACAAAAUGACCAGGUCUAUUUCCUCAGCUGGAAAACGGGUUCCCAGUUCCACUUGCUGCGGCAAUAGCUUGAGAGGCUUCAUCAAAGGAUGUGUAACUUGCCUUUCAAAUUAUGAUUGAUGGGCCUAUCCUUUUCAUAGCCAGUUUCCAUGGAAAGGAGAUUCAAAUCAUAUUUUCCAUACCGCCGUGGUCUGUCCUUAAUGGUGACUAUUCAAGCCUGACUCAGUCCAUUUACAUUGAGAAAAGAAAUAACAAAGCUUAGAUCUCUUGCUUGUGACUGAAUGGGGAAUAGAAACAGGUAUUUUUUAGUACCUGAAAAGUUCCACCCAAACCAAGCUUUGUUGCACAGGGUGUGCCAGCAUUCAGGGCAACACCCUUCCUGCAGUCAGGGAACACAAGAGUGUGUACUCAAGUAUUAUUUGGUGACAAGAAUAGAGCAUUAUUCUGAGUAAUAAAGUGUUAUUCAAAUUCUACAAAAGUACAUACAUGCUGUAACAUGGUGAUUAUUCUAAGAAAGAGUGUUUAAUUUAGAAGUUACCUAACCUUUUGGGUUUCUAUUUUUGAUGACAUUUGUAGUCUAAAUUAGCAAUAAACCUGUGUCUCUCAGGCUUUUCCAUCAGACUCCAAACCUGAUGCACAAUUUUAUUUUAGGAUCAGCAGCCCAUUUAUGAGGGCUCAGUCUGUCUCAGAGAUUUAAGGCCCAUCUAGGCUCAGGUCAUCUGCAGACAAAGAAUGGAGAAGCAAAGGAAUUAGUGCCGUUAUCUUCAUACAAAGCAGAAAAAUGACAAUAUCACUAUUGGACUGACAUCCUAGAGUUCUGGGUAGGAGAGGAAGUCACAGAGUGGCUGAUGUUUGCCAAGUGUUAGGACUUUGGCCUCUCCCAGUGUACUAACAAAAUGCCCAUAGCAUAACAUGGGUCCUAAUACCAACAGGUGCUUGAAAAAUUAUUGCCAAAAAUGAAUUAAUAAGUGGAUUUGCAGAGCAUCUAAAACUUAGUUAAGUACAACUAACCCUGGAAUAUUUUUUUUCCUCCGUCUUUACUUUUGUCCUGAGCCCUGAGGAGGUUAGGGGCAGGUAUCAAGUCUUGUCAACUGACAUUAGAUUGAUUGUUUUGUUGGUUCACAUAUGAUCACAACAGUUAGAUGGAAUUAUGGGUAAUUUUCAAUUGUCCAAACUUCCUAUAAUGUUAUCAUAUUCCUCUACUACUUUUAAUUUAAAAAAUAUAACACGAAUUUCAAGCCCUAGUAUUAAAAAUUGAGUGACAAAUUUUGAUCUAUCCAAAGUUACUUUAAGUAAUAGAACUGCCAUUAUAAGUGACAAACAGUUGCUUUUUAAAAAAUAUAAAUCAGUUAUUUAAUCAUAAUAACAGAUACUAUCUGUCAUGUGCAUAACACAGUUAUAGCAAAUCCACUUAAGGCUUCCCUGCAGUAGGGAAAAGGGCAUGGGUGGAAACUAGAGAAUAAAAGAGCCUUUAUUUUAGGCCUUCCAUUGAGAAAGACAGUGAGAUGAAUGACUUUAUUUUAACCUCUGUACCCACUAUGUGGUCACUUAUUAAUGACACUUACCAGAAAACACUCGUAAGCAACCUCAGAAAUUUUGUCAUUAGUACACGUAGUCUUCCUCAUACUACUGAGAAAAGUACUUCAUGAAAUGUCUCAAAAAGGGAAGUUAUUAAAAUAAACAUGUAACAGCUAUGGUGGCCAUCAGACCUAGACCAAUGACGUCAUUGCUUUUACCCACAAACCAACUUGCUGUCAGAAACCGUCCCACUUUCAGCUGAGAAACCAGGUCACAUGAAUUUAAGGCCCUUAACAGUUUAACCGUUCUAUGAAUACUAUGAGGCCUGUCCAGAAGGAAACUGUGCAUAUGGCCAUCCAAAGACAAUAUGGAAUAAAUACUGAUGAGUUGUUUUGACCAUGAACCCUGAUAAUUUUUCUUUUUUUUUUUUUAGGGCUGUACCUGUGGCAUAUGGAGGUUCCCAGGCUAGGGGUUGAAAUCAGAGCUGCAGCUUUCAGCCUACACCACAGCUCACAGCAAUGCCAGAUCCUUAACCCACUAAGCAAGGCCAGGAAUUGAACCACCAUCCUCGUGGAUAUUAGUCAGGUUCAUUACUGCUGAGCCACAACAGGAAGUCUCCCUGAUAAGUCUAACUUUCAGCUAGAUGCCUUUCUGUUGUCUUCCUAGCAGAAAUACUCAGGUUAUUUGAGUAUUUAAAAGGAGGCUUACCGGGAGUUCCUGUCGUGGCUCAGUGGAAUCAGAAUCUGACUAGCAUCCGUGAGGACACAGGUUCGAUCCCUGAUCUUGCUCAGUGGGUUAAGGAUCUGGUGUUGGUAUGGCUAUGGCGUAGGCCAGCAGCUACAGCUCCAAUUCGACCCCUAGCAGGAAACCUCCAUAUGCUGUGGGUGUAGCCCUAAAAGAC
rnacentral:lncRNA from 1 species